UGCAUUAUGAUGUAAUUGGUAACAUACAAGGCUCAGUCCUUUUUAUAUACGUUCAAAUCGUGUUGAUGCAU
rnacentral:tRNA from 1 species